rnacentral:rRNA from 1 species
UUUUUACUAUUAAAUUUUUCUAAUUUAAUAAAAAUAAUAAAUUUAACUUGUAAAAUAAAAAUUCAAUAUAAUUUAUUUCAUUCUUUUAUAAAAACUGCACCUAGACCUAAAAAAUUUCUUUAUAAAAGAAUUUUAAAAAUAUUUCUUAAUAUUUUUUAUAAAAAGAGAUAUACAAAUUGUUCUAUUAAUACAAAUAAAAGUAAGAUUUUGGUGUCAAAUCCUUUAAAGAAUAAAUUCCUCAAAUUAGUUAAAAGAAGCCGCCAAAAAUUUUUAGUUUCAUGUUUUACACUUACUACUAAAAAUUUUUUUAUAAAAAUAGUGGGGUAUCUAAUCCCAGUUUA